UACGUAGGGUGUGAGCGUUGUCCGGAAUUAUUGGGCGUAAAGAGCUUGUAGGUGGUUUGUCGCGUCUGCUGUGAAAAUCCGAGGCUCAACCUCGGACUUGCAGUGGGUACGGGCAGACUAGAGUGUGGUAGGGGAGACUGGAAUUCCUGGUGUAGCGGUGGAAUGCGCAGAUAUCAGGAGGAACACCGAUGGCGAAGGCAGCUCGCUGGGACGGAACUGACGCUAAGGCGCGAAAGCGUGGGGAGCGAGCAGG
rnacentral:rRNA from 1 species